rnacentral:misc_RNA from 1 species
UUUAGCGCGUGGAAAGUUAU